rnacentral:piRNA from 1 species
GUGAGUUUCUGUUGCUAAUGGCUUUGA